rnacentral:rRNA from 1 species
UACGGAGGGUGCAAGCGUUAUCCGGAUUUACUGGGUUUAAAGGGUGCGUAGGCGGACUUUUAAGUCAGUGGUGAAAGCUCCGAGCUUAACUCGGAAACUGCCAUUGAUACUAUUAGUCUUGAAUUCGGUUGGAGGUUGGCGGAAUGUGUCGUGUAGCGGUGAAAUGCUUAGAUAUGACACAGAACACCGAUUGCGAAGGCAGCUAGCUAAACCGACAUUGACGCUGAGGCACGAAAGCGUGGGGAUCAAACAGG